GGAAAGGGUCCAAGGAGGUCCAUCCCCCAUUGAGCAAAAGGCCAUGGGGCACUCAAGGGUGUAAGCUCGGUGGCGGGCUGUCUCUGGAUGUUGGCAUAUCUCUGGCAUCGGUCACAUUUUCUGACGUAUUCAAUCGAGUCAUGGUGCAUCGUCGGCCAGUAAUAUCCUUGGCAGAGCAACUUGUGGGAUAAAGAUCUAUCCCCC
rnacentral:lncRNA from 1 species